CCUGGCUCAGGACGAACGCUGGCGAUGGUUGUUUGAACCGCAUGGUUCAAACAUAAAAGGUGGCUUCGGCUACCACUUACAGAUGGACCCGCGGCGCAUUAGCUAGUUGGUGAGGUAACGGCUCACCAAGGCAACGAUGCGUAGCCGACCUGAGAGGGUGAUCGGCCACACUGGGACUGAGACACGGCCCAGACUCCUACGGGAGGCAGCAGUAGGGAAUCUUCCGCAAUGGACGAAAGUCUGACGGAGCAACGCCGCGUGAGUGAUGAAGGUUUUCGGAUCGUAAAGCUCUGUUGUUAGGGAAGAACAAGUACCGUUCGAAUAGGGCGGUACCUUGACGGUACCUAACCAGAAAGCCACGGCUAACUACGUGCCAGCAGCCGCGGUAAUACGUAGGUGGCAAGCGUUGUCCGGAAUUAUUGGGCGUAAAGGGCUCG
rnacentral:rRNA from 1 species